rnacentral:rRNA from 1 species
GAUGAACGCUGGCGGCGUGCCUAAUACAUGCAAGUCGAGCGCAGCGGCGGACGGGUGAGUAAUGCCUAGGAAUCUGCCUGGUAGUGGGGGAUAACGUCCGGAAACGGGCGCUAAUACCGCAUACUAUCAGAUGAACCUAGAUCGUAUUAGCUAGUGGGUGGGGUAAAGGCCGACCAAGGCGACGAUCCGUAGCUGGUCUGAGUGGAUGAUCAGUCACACUGCAACUGAGCCCAGGUCCAGACUCCUACGGGAGGCAGCGGUGGGGAAUAUUGGACAAUGGGCGCAAUCCUGCUCCAGCCAUGCCGCGUGUGUGAAGAAGGUCUUAGGAUUGUAAAGCACUUUAAGUUGGGAGGCGUUACCAACAGAAUAAGCACCGGCUAACUUCGUGCCAGCAGCCGCGGUAAUAC